GGUGAGGGAAAUUGAUAAAAGUAUGAAAGAAUUAGUGACUCAUUCAUCUUCUCCCUAGACGACAAACACAAAAGAAGAACGAAAAAAAUUUGCAUGGUUUUCUCCUUCCAUAGCCGUGGCUUCCACAAGAUUCGGCCGCUCCUACGGUACUUGGAGAAACGUUGGUCGAAUGUCUCCCAAGAUACACCAACACAAUGAUCAAGUAGUAGUACCUCUGCAACGAUCAACGAACAAACAUUGUUUUUUUUUCUAUCACCAGAACGUUGAAAAAAUAUGUAGAGGAAAAGAAGAAUUUUGAGAGAAAGAUAAAUUUGGUGUGAGAGAAUUUGAGUGUAGAAAAAAUUCUUCAGAAUUCAUAGCCUUUUAUAGGCAUUCAAUAUGAUGGAAUCUUGGAAAUUUCCACAAAAUCCGCCAUUAAAGGAGCCAAUAAAUCAAUUUGAUUAAAAUUAAAUCAAAUUGAUUGGAAUCAAAUAGAAUAAGAUAAAUGUCCUUUUGAAAUA